AAAAGAAAAUAGGAAACUACAAUCCUAUCUAAUUAAAAAACAAAUAUUAAUUUUAACUAAUAAGAUAAGAUAGAAUAAAAUUAGGGUUUGUGAUAUCCUUGUCUCUCACUCGAAGGAAAAUCAAUCAGAAUCAGAAGUAGAACAUCAACAAUGGAGCUCCAAAAAUCAAAAUCAAUGGAUGUUCCUCUGAGCUUCACACAACAUUUAUUCUCAAAAGAAGAUUAUCAAGAGAAGAACCUCAUCUAUUCACCCUUGUCUCUCUACGCUGCUCUUAGUGUCAUCGCCGCCGGUUCAGAAGGCCGCACAUUCGACGAGCUUCUUUCGUUCCUCCGAUUUGACUCCAUCGACAAUCUCAAUACCUUCUUCUCUCAGGCCAUCUCCCCUGUGUUCUUCGACAAUGAUGCUGCUUCUCCUUUACAGCAUUACAAUGGAAUAUUUAUUGAUACAACGGUUUCCCUUUCCUAUCCUUUUAGAAGACUUCUGUCCACUCAUUACAAUGCCAAUCUAACUUCACUUGAUUUUAAUCUCCGGGGUGGUAAAGUGCUUCAUGAAAUGAAUUCAUUGAUUGAAGAAGAUACUAAUGGCCAUAUUACACAGCUUCUUCCUCCCGGAACAGUAACCAACUUAACCAGGCUUAUCUUUGCAAAUGCACUGUGCUUCCAGGGUAUGUGGAAACACAAGUUUGAUGGUCUAACAUAUGUAUCACCAUUUAACCUGCUUAAUGGCACCUCUGUCAAGGUUCCCUUCAUGACUACCUGUAAGAACACACAGUAUGUUAGAGCUUUUGAUGGUUUCAAAAUUCUCCGUCUUCCUUAUAAACAAGGAAGAGAUAGACAACGCCGCUUCUCCAUGUGCAUUUUCCUUCCAGAUGCACAAGAUGGACUUUCAGCUUUAAUUCAAAAGUUGUCUUCAGAACCUUGUUUCUUGAAAGGCAAGCUUCCUCGCCGAAAAGUACGAGUACAUCCCUUCUGGAUUCCAAAAUUCAAUAUUUCUUUUACAUUUGAAGCUUCUAAUGUGCUCAAGGAGGUUGGAGUGGUUUCACCUUUCUCUCCAAUGGACGCACAUUUAACAAAAAUGGUGAAUGUGAAUUCUCCUUUGGAUAAUUUAUGCGUGCAAAGCAUAUUUCACAAAGCUUUCAUUGAAGUGAAUGAAAAAGGCACUAAAGCAACCGCAGCCACUUGGUCUGCGCUGGCACGACAAUGUGCUCGAGAUCAUCUUCCAGCUAUAGACUUUAUAGCUGACCACCCAUUCCUCUUCUUGAUCAGAGAAGAUUUCACCGGAACAAUCCUCUUCGUUGGGCAGGUGCUCAAUCCUCUUGAUGGAUUACCGGUCAAGGCACGCGGUGGGCAGGUGCUCAGCAGCAGCUAUGCCGGUCAAGGAUUGGCGUGUGACGCCUCUCUCCGAGGAUGAAGAUUCGAUGUUUUUAGGCCUUUCGAGGGGGUGCCUGCCAUCUCCAAGGUUACCUUCAUCCGCGCUCUUCCCUGAAAUUUCCCUUGUUGAUUGAAGCUAUUGAUUUCAGAGCAUGAAUUGCAAGAUGAAAUUGGAAGUAUUGAAUCAAGUGACAUUGGACCCGAAGCUGCAAUCCCAAAAGCAGGACAAAGAAAUCCUAAAGUUCCAAAUAGGAUAUUCAUUAGAGUAGGGUUAUUGUGCUCUUUGUUGACAUAAUCAUGUAGCAAAAGAUAUACAUUUAACAAUAAUUUUGACUGCAAUAAAAUUUAUCAGAAGUUUUGAUUCCAAUCCCUCAUAUACGUUCCUA